rnacentral:tRNA from 1 species
CCGGGCGUAGCUCAGGCCUGGUAGAGCGGCCGGCUGUAGUGACCGGCAGGUCGUGGGUUCAAGUCCCACCGCCCGGA